GAAGAAGAAGAAGAAGAAGAAGAAGAAGAAGAAGAAGAAGAAGAGCAACAACAAAAAAGACAGCAAGAAAAAAAAAGGGAAGAAAGGAAACAAAAAGAACACCAAGAUAGGAAAGAGAGUCCUCACCCCAGAAGAGUCCAUGGAUCGCUACAGGCGCGUCUUUGUAGCAGUGAAAAAGGGCAUGACAAAAACUGAGGCACACGUCAAAGUCGGGGUUGACCGAAAAACGGUGGCAGCAACGGCCGCCAUUUCGGAGCUACAGGCUGUUGACAAGGACCUGUAUGACCAGCUGAGGGCAUCAAUGCCCAAGGGAGAGACACUUUAUCUUUUUUCGGCAAAAUGUAAUCUAGAAAUACUUGGCAGGAACCUUCAGGAUAAGGUGAAUGAAAAAAAAA